CUCAGGCUGGAGGGCAGUGGUGCAAUCUUAGCUCACCGCAGCCUGAACUUUUGGGCUCAAGUCAUCCUCAGCUUCCUGAGUAGCUGGGAUUACAGGCAUGAGCCACCAUGCCUGACUAGUCCUAUUCUUGAAGUGUGUGUGUGUGUGUGUGUGUGUGUGUGUGUGUUUGUGUUCUUUGUCCUUCUCAAACUGCAGAGUUUGAUCGCUGUUCUCUUCCUUGCAGGAAGCUCCAAGACAUGUCCAGCCUGCUCUUUGCUGCGAAACUGCACUGAAAUAACUUUCCUUCUGCCCAGGACUCCUGCUUGUUUAGCCAGAUGCAGCUGGGUGGGGGACCGGGCUGGGGACUGGACAGGGGCUGGGUGGAAAGAAUGGACAAAGGUGGUGGUUGGAAGGGGAGCAUGGAUGAGGCAUCCUGGGACUGGAGAUUGCCAGCCCUGCCUCAUAGCUCAGCCUGGUGCUGCUGGGGUAAAGGGCAGAGGGGAGCUCAACAGCAGAAGAGGCCCUGGAUUGACCAUGGGGAUUGCUAUAGAGUGGGCAGAGGUCCUGGAGGGCUUGGAAAGCAGGGGCCCUAAUCUCCCUUCCUCAACCUCUAUCCCUAGAAAAUGGGACUCUCAUUGAGAAGGGGUCAUGUGUGGCCCCUGGAGAAUGCCAAGAAGGUGUCUAUGCCCUGACCUACGGCCCCCAUGCAAGUCUCUGGGUCAGCACAGCCUGUUGUGAAAACAACUGCAGUAACCUUCCCCAGCAAGGGGGUCCCCAAAUUCUGAAGGGCUGUGCUACACCAGAGGUCUGCAACUUACAUAAGAAUGCCACCCUGGGUCCAGAAGACUCUGGAUUUCAUCUCACUGCUAAGCCUGAAUGCAACUACCUUACUCCUCCUACACAGCCAGGUCCUCAUGCAACUGUGACACACGCCAAAGCUGAGACCACCAUCUGCUUCACCUGCUCAGACCUCCACAGCUGUGGCCCACUUCCAUGCCCAGAGGAUAAUAACUACUGCCUUCAGAUGGCGGGCAUCACAGGUGAGUGCCCAUGGGGACAGAAACAGGGCCUAGGGCACAGCAAGACCUAUCCUCACUCUCCCACUUUGCUGCCUUGCUCCAGCCAUUGUAGCCUUUUCCUGGGCAUGCAGGACAGAGGCUGGGGUGCAGUGGAGGGUGUUAGUUUAAAAUCUACUGCCAUUGUUGUUUAAGUUACUGCUGAAUAACAAAUUGGCCAGAACUUAGUGGCUUAACCGAUCAUAAAAAGACAAAUACUGUAUGAUUUCACUGAAUUAUCUAGAGUAGUCAAAAUCAUUGAAACAGAAGAUAGAAUGGUGGUUGCCAGAGGUUGUGGGAGGGGGAAAUGGAAGCUGUUCGAUGGGUACAGUUUCAGUUGUGCAAAAUGAGUUCUAGAGAUCUGUUACACUCAACAAUGUGAAUAUAGUUAACAUUACUGAAUGGUGCACUUAAAAAUUGUUAAGAAGGCCAGCCGGGUGUGGUGGCUGACACCUUUAAUCCCAGCACUUUGGGAGGCCAAGGCGGGUGGAUCAUCUGAGGUCAGGAGUUCAAGGCCAGCCUGGCCAACAUGGUGAAACCCCAUCUCUACUAAAAAUAUAAAAAUUAGCUGGGUGUGGUAGUAGGCACCUGUAGUCCCAGCUACUUGCGAGGCUGAGGCAGGAGAAUCGCUUGAACAUGGGAGGCAGAGGACACAGUGAGCCAAUAUCACGCCACUGCAUUCCAGCCUGGGUGACAGAGUGAGACUCCGUCUCAAAAAAAAAAAAAAAAAAAUUGUUAAGAAAGCCACACAUGAUGGUUUAUGCCUGUAAUCCCAGCACUUUGGGAGUCUGAGGCAGGAGAAUCACUUGAGGCCAGAAGUUCAAGACCAAUCUGGGCAACACAGUGCGACCCCAUCUCUAUUUUUUUUUAAAGGUUAAGAGGGUAUAUAUUAUACUGUGUGAUUUUCAAAAAAAAAAAUCACAAUUGGCAAAAAAAGCUUCUCAGAUUAGACAAGUAUUUGUUCUCUCACAAUUCUGCAGCUGACUGGACUCAGCUGGGCAGUUCUCCUCUAAGUGG
rnacentral:lncRNA from 10 species